rnacentral:rRNA from 1 species
CCUACGGGAGGCAGCAGUGGGGAAUAUUGGACAAUGGGGGGAACCCUGAUCCAGCCAUGCCGCGUGUGUGAAGAAGGCCCUCGGGUUGUAAAGCACUUUCAGUGAGGAAGAACGCCUGGUGGUUAAUACCCAUCAGGAAAGACAUCACUCACAGAAGAAGCACCGGCUAACUCCGUGCCAGCAGCCGCGGUAAUACGGAGGGUGCGAGCGUUAAUCGGAAUUACUGGGCGUAAAGCGCGCGUAGGUGGCUUGAUAAGCCGGUUGUGAAAGCCCCGGGCUCAACCUGGGAACGGCAUCCGGAGGUGGAGAGCUAGAGGGAGGGCGAGGAAGGUAGAAGUACCGGGGAGGAGGGGAAAUGCGGAGAGAACGGGAGAAAUGCGGGUGGCGAAGGCGGACAGCUGGCCGGACUAGGACACUUAGGUGCGCAAUCGUUGGUAAGACACAGAGUUAGAUACCCUGGUAGUC